rnacentral:rRNA from 1 species
GAUGAACGCUGGCGGCGUGCCUAAUACAUGCAAGUCGAGCGAACAGAUGAUGAGCUUGCUCCUCUGACGUUAGCGGCGGACGGGUGAGUAACACGUGGAUAACCUACCUAUAAGACUGGUAUAACUUCGGGAAACCGGAGCUAAUACCGGAGAAUAUAUUGAACCGCAUGGUUCAAUAGUGAAAGACGGUUGUGCUGUCACGUAUAGAUGGAUCCGCGCCGCAUUAGAUGGUUGGUAAGGUAACGGCUUACCAAGGCAACGAUGCGUAGCCGACGUGAGAGAGUGAUAGGCCGCCCUGGAAGGGAGACGCGGUCCAGGCGACUAAGGGAGGCCGCAGUCGGGAAUCGUCCGCAACAGGGGAAAGUCUGACGGAGUAACGGCGAGUGAGUGGCGAAGACGCUCGGUUCGUAAAAAUCUGUUAUUAGGGAAAAACAAAUGUGUCCGUAAAUAUGGCCGUAUUGACGGUAAUGAAUAAGAAAGCCACGGCUAACUACGUG